CUGGGCGUAAGCGUGCGCAGGCGGUUGUGCAAGACAGAUGUGAAAUCCCCGGGCUUAACCUGGGAAUUGCAUUUGUGACUGCACGGCUAGAGUGUGUCAGAGGGGGAUAGAAUUCCACGUGUAGCAGUGAAAUGCGUAGAGAUGUGGAGGAAUACCGAUGGCGAAGGCAGCCCCCUGGGAUAACACUGACGCUCAUGCACGAAAGCGUGGGGAGCAAACAGGAUUAGAUACCCUGGUAGUCCACGCCCUAAACGAUGUCAACUAGUUGUCGGGUCUUAAUUGACUUGGUACGCAGCUACGCGUGAAGUUGACCGCCUGGGAGUACGGUCGCAGAUAAAACUCAAAGAAUUGACGGGGACCCGCACAAGCGGGGAUGAUGGGAUAAUUCGAUGAACGCAAAAACUUACUACCCUUGAAUGGGAGAAUCCUAAAAAUCAGGGAGGGUCAAAAAAAACU
rnacentral:rRNA from 1 species